CCUACGGGAGGCAGCAGUGAGGAAUAUUGGGCAAUGGGCGAAAGCCUGACCCAGCCACGCCGCGUGUGUGAUGAAGGCCUUCGGGUCGUAAAGCACUGUGGGGAGAGACGAAAAAGCGCAUCAGGAAAUGGUUGCGCCUUGACGGUACCUCCUUAGCAAGCACCGGCUAACUCUGUGCCAGCAGCCGCGGUAAU
rnacentral:rRNA from 1 species